CGCCUGUUAACAAAAACAUGUCCUUUUGAAUAUAUUUAAGGUCUAACCUGCCCAAUGAGGAUUUAAAUGGCCGCAGUAUUUUGACUGUGCAAAGGUAGCAUAAUUAUUAGUUUUUUAAUUGAAAGCUUGUAUGAAGGGUUGGACGAGAUAAAAUCUGUCUUUAUUUAAAUUAAAAUAGAAUUUAACUUUUAAGUCAAAAGGCUUAAAUUUUUAUAAAAGACGAGAAGACCCUAUAGAUCUUUAUUUAAUUAAUAUUUUGAUAAUUUAAGAUUAUUUUAAUUUAAAAUUUUAAUUGAAUUUUAUUGGGGUAAUAUAAAGAUUAAAAAAAUUCUUUUUAUUUAUAACAUUAAUUUAUGAAUAUAUGAUCCAAUAUUAUUGAUUAUAAGAUUAAGUUACCUUAGGGAUAACAGCGUAAUUUUUUUGGAGAGCUCAUAUCGAUAAAAAAGUUUGCGA
rnacentral:rRNA from 1 species